UCGAGGGGCAGCAUGGUCUUAGCUUGCUAAGGCUGAUGGCGACCGGCGCACGGGUGAGUAACACGUAUCCAACCUGCCGUCUACUCUUGGCCAGCCUUCUGAAAGGAAGAUUAAUCCAGGAUGGGAUCAUGAGUUCACAUGUCCGCAUGAUUAAAGGUAUUUUCCGGUAGACGAUGGGGAUGCGUUCCAUUAGAUAGUAGGCGGGGUAACGGCCCACCUAGUCAACGAUGGAUAGGGGUUCUGAGAGGAAGGUCCCCCACAUUGGAACUGAGACACGGUCCAAACUCCUACGGGAGGCAGCAGUGAGGAAUAUUGGUCAAUGGGCGAUGGCCUGAACCAGCCAAGUAGCGUGAAGGAUGACCGCCCUAUGGGUUGUAAACUUCUUUUAUAAAGGAAUAAAGUCGGGUAUGCAUACCCGUUUGCAUGUACUUUAUGAAUAAGGAUCGGCUAACUCCGUGCCAGCAGCCGCGGUAAUACGGAGGAUCCGAGCGUUAUCCGGAUUUAUUGGGUUUAAAGGGAGCGUAGAUGGAUGUUUAAGUCAGUUGUGAAAGUUUGCGGCUCAACCGUAAAAUUGCAGUUGAUACUGGAUGUCUUGAGUGCAGUUGAGGCAGGCGGAAUUCGUGGUGUAGCGGUGAAAUGCUUAGAUAUCACGAAGAACUCCGAUUGCGAAGGCAGCCUGCUAAGCUG
rnacentral:rRNA from 1 species